rnacentral:misc_RNA from 1 species
GUUUUCGUUACUUUUGAGCUACGACAUAAUGCGUUCUUUGAAAUCACAUUUUAUUUUCAUGAAACGCAAAAUGUUAUUCAAUGAAAAUAGGCACAAGAGAAGAAAACAGCGAAGGGCCUGAGCGAGUGAAACACGUUUUGAUCACCUUGACCUCACUGUGACCUUCGGGCGAAUGAAUGAAAUCGAGGCUGAGAAAAGCAUGCAGGUGAGCGCGGCAGUGUUUACCUUCGAAAAUAGUGUAUUUGUCGUUCAUUCCAAGCUUCACUUCUAAUGAGUAUGUACUGAUUAUGGAAAAAGUGACAUAUUAAUUGUAAUAGAAUCACUGUUCUUGCCCGACGGAGUUAUGAUUAGGGUAUUUUGAUCUUUGUUGACAAUUUGCAAGUAGGAUAUAUAUUGACUACAUCAUCAUUAUCAUGGCGUCGAGUUCCCUAAGUCAAGAAAGCUUAGAUAGGGAUGACUACGAAAUAAACUGCCGUCGAAGUAAAUUGAAACCAACCAGAGGUCGAAGUGGGGGAUAUAAAGCCGGUCCAGAGAGUGCUGACAACACAGGGGAUGGACUGGACAAGAACGGCGACGGUCACUGUCCUGUGCUUCCAGAUCGAAGUCCCAAUCGUGGCGGAGACCACGAGUCGCCGUCUCGUCUAGGUACCCCUUCUAGAUCCAAGGACUCGUCAAAAAGAAGACCAAACCAUUUACACAAAGGAAAGACGGCCAAGGACAAAAGAAAAUUGAGGGAGAAGAGAAGAAGCACAGGUGUCGUGCAUCUCCCAUCCGAGAGUACAGGAGAUUCUCUUGAUGAAGAAGAUGCUGGGGUAGAAACCAAGAAGAACACAUCGUACAAUGAAGUCAUUGAUAAUGACAACCCAGAGACACCAGUAGAGAACCGACUUUCAAAAUCCUUUGCCUCGAGGUGCAGAAAUAAAAGUCCUUCUGACCUCGAAGCUGACUUAGAAGAUAACCAGGACUAUGACAGCACCGUCAGCCAGUCAGAGACCAAUCUCACCAUCAUUGGGCAAUCGGCCGCAUCAACAAGCCAAUCAACUUAUGCAAAGCAUUCACCAGAAAAAGAACUCAGCAGAAUUCAGAAGACAGAGGAGGCCAGGACAACCUUUAAUAACCAAGACAGAGACAGAGGCCACGCCAGCACUGUAGGAGGCCGAGUUUCUCUGUCAGCAUUUAAUAGAUUUGACCGUGAUUCUUCUGGCUUUGCCAAGCUUAGUUAUAAAACCAAUCUGAUAGACAUUGACUCUAGUCACUCCAGGCCAUCAUUGCGUCCAUCUCAGCAGGAGCUUAAAUUGCAGGAGAAAAACAAAGAGUUGGAGAAGCAAUUGGCAAAAGAAAAAGAAGAAAACCAAAGACUAAAGGAGCUGUUGGAAGGCAGAGACAGACAGAUUGCAAGAUUGGAAAGGGAAAUUGCUCUGCUCAACCAGGAUCUUGAUGUCUUGGAUGAAGAAAAUAUCAAGUUAAUCACAGAAAAUAAAGUCCUUCUGCAGAGUGUACGUUCAUUUGGUAGUGAUGUCUAAGAACAUGGUUAAUUGGGUAUACAUAUUGUGUAAUAAUUAUAAUGCAAGUCAAUAUUUACAAACACAGUCAAUAUUCUUUAACUUUAUUGUAGACUUUAUUUGUUCAUUUUGAUUAAACUGCAAUGCUGGUGAUUUACCAGUAAAUGAAAAUGGUCACAUAUAGUUGAAAGAAUUAUAUUAAAAAAAACUCAAAUUGUUAAAUGUUUUCUUUAACUUUUCUAUAGCUUGGCACUUAUACUUAAAUGUUUUUCAAAAUAUGCUUUGAUUUUAGAAAUUGGCAUCCACAUGUUGUUUUAGUUAUAUACCUGACACAUCACCAUUUAAUGUACUUUUUUUGUGUAAUAUAACAUAUCUUAUAUGAUGCGGGAGGCAUUUUUGGAAUUGUUCAGAAUUUUUUGGCAAUGGCAGUAACAUAUCAAAACCAGAGUGUAAGAUUCUCUAUUGAGGCUUUUGAGGUGACAGUGAUUUAAAAUCUCUUUAUAGUGAAAACAUAUUAUAGCCAGUUGUGCACUUGUGAAAACUUGAACAAACUUUAUUUUAUUGAUUGAUUAAUUAAUUUAAAAUAUUGAUAAAGGUAACAUGUUUGAAUUAUUAUGCACAUGUUCUAUGAGGACGUUUUGAUCUGCAUUGGUGAAACUAAAUGUUGUACUGUUAAAUGUAAUGUGAUAUGAAUGACAGCCGUUAUAAAGACUCUGUAGCUGUUAAAAGUCUGAAUAUGAUUUUAAAAAGGGAAUUCUGCUGAGCAGAAGAGUGGUAUAAUGUAACUUCUGUAUAUGUACAUAAAGCCUAGGAUUUGCAGCAUAUUUAGGUUAAGGUAGAAGAGGUUUGUAGUCUAUGUAUUUCUUGGUAGAUACCUUUUGCUUCAAAGAAGUGUUUUAUUAUGCUACUUUUCUGUGCCAUAUUUUAUCAUUUAGUGCUAAAUCAGAAAAAAAAAAUGGCAUUAUUGUUGUACAUUGUGACAUAUUUUCCCUCUCAUGUGCUAAAUUAUUGGUGACAGAUCCUCAU